rnacentral:rRNA from 1 species
UACGUAGGUGGCUAGCGUUGUCCGGAUUUACUGGGCGUAAAGAGCGCGCAGGCGGUCGUUCAAGUCGAGUGUGAAAGCCCCCGGCUCAACUGGGGAGGGUCACUCGAUACUGAUCGACUUGAAGGCGGGAGAGGGAAGCGGAAUUCCCGGUGUAGCGGUGAAAUGCGCAGAUAUCAGGAGGAACACCGGUGGCGAAGGCGGGUCUCUGGGCAGUAACUGACGCUGAGACGCGAAAGCGUGGGGAGCGAACAGG